AACUCGACCCGGCGCUCCGUUAUAUAAACCGCUGCAAGGUUUCAUUGUGCACAGUUUUGGGCAGUCAGCUGAACAAGUCAUAUCUUGAAGCAAAAUGAAAUUCGUGUCGCUCCUUCUCGCUGUGGCGAUGGUUCUGUCAGCCCUGCUGGGGGCAGCACGAGCCAUACCUGAGCCAGAAGCCCUGGCCGACGCUGAGGCAAGCUUCAGAGGCCACUACGGAGGCCACUACGGAGGCCACCACGGAGGCUAUCAUAGAGGAGGCCACUACGGAGGCUACAGGCGAGGGUAUGGAAGGAGGUAAGGCUCCGGAAGUAACCGUCAACCUGCCACGACCGACCGCGACCGCUACUUCUUCCCCGAUGUGCUCAUAGAAACGCCAAGAAAAGCUAAUGUUGUAAUUUUACAAAUUAAAAGAUUGAUUUCCCUUUA
rnacentral:lncRNA from 1 species